CUUGGGGUGUUGGGGUGCCCCUACAGCGUUCCAGGUGUCCCCUUCCAUUAAGUGUUGGGGACAGUCCUUGGAGUUGUUGGGGUGACGCUACAGGGUUCCAGUUGUCACCUUCUGUUAGGUGUUUGGGGCGGUCUUUGGGGGUGUUGGGGUGACCCUACAGCAUUCCAGGUGUCCCCUUCCAUUAAGUGUUGGGGACAGUCCAUGGGGUGACCCUAUAGCAUUCCAGGUGUCCCCUUCCAUUAGAUGUUGGUGGACAGUCCUUGGGGGUGUUGGGGUGACCCUACAGCAUUCCAGGUGUCACCUUCCAUUAAGUGUUGGGGACAGUCCUUGGGGUGACCCUAUAGCAUUCCAGGUGUCCCCUUCCAUUAGGUGUUGGGGACAGUCCUUGGGGUGACCCUAUAGCAUUCCAGGUGUCCCCUUCCAUUAGGUGUUGGGGACAGUCCUUGGGGUGUUGGGGUGACCCUCCAACGUUCCAGUUGUCACCUUCUGUUAGGUGUUGGGGGAUAUGGGGACGGUUCUUGGGGUGUUGGGGUGACCCUACAACGUUCCAGUUGUCCCCUUCCAUUAAGUGUUGGGGACAGUCCAUGGGGUGUUGGGGUGCCCCUACAACGUUCCAGGUGUCCCCUUCCAUUAAGAGUUGGGGACAGUCCUUGGGGUUGUUGGGGUGACGCUACAGGGUUCCAGUUGUCACCUUCUGUUAGGUGUUUGGGGCGGUCUUUGGGGGUGUUGGGGUGACCCUACAGCAUUCCAGUUGUCCCCUUCCAGUAAGUGUUGGGGACAGUCUAUGGGGUGACCCUAUAGCAUUCCAGGUGUCCCCUUCCAUUAGGUGUUGGGGGACAGUCCUUGAGAUUUUGGGGUGACACUACAGCAUUCCAGGUGUCCCCUUCCAUUAAGUGUUGGGGACAGUCCAUGGGGUGACCCUAUAGCAUUCCAGGUGUCCCCUUCCAUUCGCUGUUGGGGGACAGUCCUUGGGGGUGUUGGGGUGACACUACAGCAUUCCAGGUGUUCCCUUCCAUUAAGAGUUGGGGACAGUCCAUGGGGUGACCCUAUAGCAUUCCAGGUGUACCCUUCCAUUAGGUGUUGGGGGACAGUCCUUGGGGUUGUUGGGGUGACCCUACAGCAUUCCAGGUGUCCCCUUCCAUUAAGUGUUGGGGACAGUCCAUGGGGUGACCCCAUAGCAUUCCUGGUGUUCCCUUCCAUUAGGUAUUGGGGACAGUCCUUGAGAUUUUGGGGUGACACUACAGCAUUCCAGGUGUCCCCUUCCAUUAAGUGUUGGGGACAGUCCAUGGGGUGACCCUAUAGCAUUUCAGGUGUCCCCUUCCAUUAAGUGUUGGGGACAGUCCAUGGGGUGACCCUAUAGCAUUCCAGGUGUCCCCUUCCAUUAGGUGUUGGGGGACAGUCCUUGAGAUUUUGGGGUGACCCUACAGCAUUCCAGGUGUCCCCUUCCAUUCGGUGCUGGGGACAGUCCAUGGGGUGUUGGGGUGACACUACAACGUUCCAGUUGUCUCCUUCCAUUAAGUGUUGGGGACAGUCCAUGGGGUGACCCUAUAGCAUUCCAGGUGUCCCCUUCCAUUAAGUGUUGGGGACAGUCCUUGGGGUGUUGGGGUGCCCCUACAACGUUCCAGGUGUCCCCUUCCAUUAAGUGUUGGGGACAGUCCAUGGGGUGUUGGGGUGCCCCUACAAUGUUCCAGUUGUCCCCUUCCAUUAAGUGUUGGGGACAGUCCAUGGGGUGACCCUAUAGCAUUCCAGGUGUCCCCUUCCAUUAGGUGUUGGGGACUGUCCUUGAGAUUUUGGGGUGACACUACAGCAUUCCAGGUGUCCCCUUCCAUUAAGUGUUGGGGACAGUCCUUGGGAGUGUUGGGGUGACGCUACAGGGUUCCAGUUGUCACCUUCUGUUAGGUGUUGGGGGAUAUGGGGACGGUUCUUGGGGUGUUGGGGUGACACUACAGCAUUCCAGGUGUCCCCUUCCAUUAAGUGUUGGGGACAGUCCAUGGGGUGACCCUAUAGCAUUCCAGGUGUCCCCUUCCAUUCGCUGUUGGGGGACAGUCCUUGGGGGUGUUGGGGUGACACUACAGCGUUCCAGUUGUCCCCUUCCAUUAAGUGUUGGGGACAGUCCAUGGGGUGACCCUAUAGCAUUCCAGGUGUCACCUUCCACCAGGUGUUGGGGGACAGUCCUUGGGGUUUUGGGGUGACACUACAACGUUCCAGUUGUCCCCUUCCAUUAAGUGUUGGGGACAGUCCAUGGGGUGACCCUAUAGCAUUCCAGGUGUCCCCUUCCAUUAGGUGUUGGGGGACAGUCCUUGGGGUGUUGGGGUGACCCUACAACGUUCCAGUUGUCACCUUCUGUUAGGUGUUGGGGGAUAUGGGGACGGUUCUUGGGGUGUUGGGGUGCCCCUACAACGUUCCAGGUGUCCCCUUCCAUUAAGUGUUGGGGACAGUCCAUGGGGUGACCCUAUAGCAUUCCAGGUGUCCCCUUCCAUUAGGUGUUGGGGGACAGUCCUUGAGAUUUUGGGGUGACCCUACAGCAUUCCAGGUGUCCCCUUCCAUUAGGUGUUGGGGACAGUCCUUGGGGUUGUUGGGGUGACCCUACAACGUUCCAGUUGUCCCCUUCCAUUAAGUGUUGGGGACAGUCCAUGGGGUGACCCUAUAGCAUUCCAGGUGUCCCCUUCCAUUAGGUGUUGGGGACAGUCCUUGGGGUGUUGGGGUGACCCUACAACGUUCCAGUUGUCACCUUCUGUUAGGUGUUGGGGGAUAUGGGACGGUUCUUGGGGUGUUGGGGUGACGCUACAGCAUUCCAGUUGUCCCCUUCCAUUAAGUGUUGGGGACAGUCCAUGGGGUGACCCUAUAGCAUUCCAGGUGUCCCCUUCCAUUAGGUGUUGGGGACAGUCCAUGGGGUGACCCUAUAGCAUUCCAGGUGUCCCCUUCCAUUAGGUGUUGGGGACUGUCCUUGAGAUUUUGGGGUGACACUACAGCAUUCCAGCUGUCCCCUUCCAUUAAGUGUUGGGGACAGUCCAUGGGGUGACCCUAUAGCAUUCCAGGUGUCACCUUCCACCAGGUGUUGGGGGAUAUGGGGACGGUUCUUGGGGUGUUGGGGUGCCCCUACAACGUUCCAGUUGUCCCCUUCCAUUAAGUGUUGGGGACAGUCCAUGGGGUGACC
ensembl:lncRNA